CAGUCGCCGCGGUAAAACGUAGGUGGCAAGCGUUGUCCGGAAUUAUUGGGCGUAAAGGGCUCGCAGGCGGUUUCUUAAGUCUGAUGUGAAAGCCCCCGGCUCAACCGGGGAGGGUCAUUGAAACUGGGAAACUUGAGUGCAGAAGAGGAGAGUGGAAUUCCACGUGUAGCGGAGAAAUGCGUAGAUAUAUGGAGGAACACCGGUGGCGAAAGCGGCUCUCUGGUCUGUCACUGACGCUGAGGCUCGAAAGCGUGGGUAGCGAACAGGAUUAGAUACCCGUGUAGUCCCUGUCUCUUAUACA
rnacentral:rRNA from 1 species